rnacentral:rRNA from 1 species
GACGAACGCUGGCGGCGUGCUUAACACAUGCAAGUCGAACGGAAAGGCCUGCUUUCCCUUGUGGAUUGCGGGUACUCGAGUGGCGAACGGGUGAGUAACACGUGAGUGAUCUGCCCCCAACUUGGGUAUAAGCCUGGGAAACUGGGUCUAAUUCCCGAUAGGACUGCAGGGUGGUGCCUGUGGUGGAAAACGAUUUUCUAGUGGUUGGGGAUGAGCUCGCGGCCUAUCAGCUUGUUGGUGGGGUAAUGGCCUACCUAGGCGGCGACGGGUAGCCGGCCUGAGAGGGUGGACGGCCACAUUGGGACUGAGAUACGGCCCAGACUCCUACGGGAGGCAGCAGUGGGGAAUAUUGCACAAUGGGCGGAAGCCUGAUGCAGCGACGCCGCGUGGGGGAUGACGGCCUUCGGGUUGUAAACUCCUUUCGACCGCGAGGAAGCCACCUGGUUGGAAGGGUGGUGACGGUAGUGGUAGAAGAAGCACCGGCUAACUACGUG